rnacentral:rRNA from 1 species
AUACGUAGGGGGCGAGCGUUGUCCGGAAUGAUUGGGCGUAAAGGGCGCGUAGGCGGCCGCUUAAGUCUGGAGUGAAAGUCCUGCUUUCAAGAUGGGAAUUGCUUUGGAUACUGGGGGGCUUGAGUGCAGGAGAGGUUAUCGGAAUUCCCGGUGUAGCGGUGAAAUGCGUAGAGAUCGGGAGGAACACCAGUGGCGAAGGCGGGUAACUGGACUGCAACUGACGCUGAGGCGCGAAAGUGUGGGGAGCAAACAGGAUUAGAUACCCUGGUAGUCCACACUGUAAACGAUGAAUGCUAGGUGUAAGAGGUAUCGACCCCUUUUGUGCCGGAGUCAACACAAUAAGCAUUCCGCCUGGGGAGUACGGCCGCAAGGUUGAAACUCAAAUGAAUUGACGGGG